AAGGUACGGGAGGCAGCAGUGAGGAAUAUUGGUCAAUGGACGAAAGUCUGAACCAGCCAAGUAGCGUGCAGGAUGACGGCCCUCCGGGUUGUAAACUGCUUUUAGUUGGGAAUAAAAGAAGGGACGUGUCCCUUAUUGUAUGUACCUUCAGAAAAAGGACCGGCUAAUUCCGUGCCAGCAGCCGCGGUAAUCCUU
rnacentral:rRNA from 1 species